rnacentral:rRNA from 1 species
AGAGUUUGAUCAUGGCUCAGAACGAACGCUGGCGGCGUGCCUAACACAUGCAAGUCGAACGCGAAAGGGGGCAACCCCCGGUAGCGUGGCAGACGGGUGAGUAACACGUGGGUAACCUACCCGGAGGUGGGGGAUAACCCUUCGAAAGGAGGGCUAAUACCGCAUGAAACCUUGGGGACCUCGGUCCUUAAGAUCAAAGCUGGCCUCUGUUUACAAGCUAGCGCCACCGGAUGGGCCCGCGCCCCAUUAGCUAGUUGGUGAGGUAACGGCUCACCAAGGCUACGAUGGGUAGCCGGCCUGAGAGGGCGAUCGGCCACACUGGAACUGCGACACGGUCCAGACUCCUACGGGAGGCAGCAGUGAGGAAUCUUGCGCAAUGGGCGAAAGCCUGACGCAGCGACGCCGCGUGGAGGAUGAAGGUCUUCGGAUUGUAAACUCCUGUCGAGUGGGACGAAUGCCGUGAGGGUGAACAAUCCUCGCGGUUGACGGUACCGCUGGAGGAAGCCCCGGCUAACUCCGUGCCAGCAGCCGCGGUAAUACGGAGGGGGCUAGCGUUGUUCGGAAUCAUUGGGCGUAAAGGGCGCGUAGGCGGCCGAUCAAGUCGGAGGUGAAAUCCCUCGGCUCAACUGAGGAAUUGCCUUCGAUACUGUUCGGCUUGAGUCCUGGAGAGGGUAGCGGAAUUCCCGGUGUAGCGGUGAAAUGCGUAGAGACCGGGAAGAACACCAGUGGCGAAGGCGGCUACCUGGACAGGUACUGACGCUGAAGCGCGAAAGCUAGGGGAGCAAACAGGAUUAGAUACCCUAGUAGUCC